GGGCCGGUAGUCUAGUUCGGUAUGAUGCGAGGUUUGGGACCUCGUGGUCCCGAGUUCAAAUCUCGGCCGGCCCACCA
rnacentral:tRNA from 1 species